rnacentral:rRNA from 1 species
ACCCGCUGAACUUAAGCAUAUCAAUAAGCGGAGGAAAAGAAACCAACCGGGAUUACCUCAGUAACGGCGAGUGAAGCGGUAACAGCUCAAAUUUGAAAUCUGGCUCCUCCGGAGUCCGAGUUGUAAUUUGUAGAAGAUGCUUUGGGAGGUAGGGCCGGCCUAAGUUCCUUGGAACAGGACGUCAUAGAGGGUGAGAAUCCCGUCUGCGGCCGCGGCCUACGCCCGUGUAAAGCUCUUUCGACGAGUCGAGUUGUUUGGGAAUGCAGCUCAAAAUGGGUGGUAAAUUUCAUCUAAAGCUAAAUAUUGGCCAGAGACCGAUAGCGCACAAGUAGAGUGAUCGAAAGAUGAAAAGCACUUUGGAAAGAGAGUUAAACAGUACGUGAAAUUGUUGAAAGGGAAGCGCUUGCACCCAGACUUGGGCGUCGUGGAUCAUCCGAGGUUCUCCUCGGUGCACUCGACGACGCGCAGGCCAGCAUCGGUUUGGGUGGUUGGAGAAAGACCCUAGGAACGUAGCUCCCUUCGGGGCGUGUUAUAGCCUAGGGUGCAAUGCAGCCUACCCGGACCGAGGACCGCGCCUUCGGGCUAGGAUGCUGGCGUAAUGGUUGUAAGCGACCCGUCUUGAAACACGGACCAAGG